rnacentral:rRNA from 5 species
UUUUAUGGAGAGUUUGAUCCUGGCUCAGGAUGAACGCUGGCGGCGUGCCUAAUACAUGCAAGUCGAGCGAACGGACGAGAAGCUUGCUUCUCUGAUGUUAGCGGCGGACGGGUGAGUAACACGUGGAUAACCUACCUAUAAGACUGGGAUAACUUCGGGAAACCGGAGCUAAUACCGGAUAAUAUUUUGAACCGCAUGGUUCAAAAGUGAAAGACGGUCUUGCUGUCACUUAUAGAUGGAUCCGCGCUGCAUUAGCUAGUUGGUAAGGUAACGGCUUACCAAGGCAACGAUGCAUAGCCGACCUGAGAGGGUGAUCGGCCACACUGGAACUGAGACACGGUCCAGACUCCUACGGGAGGCAGCAGUAGGGAAUCUUCCGCAAUGGGCGAAAGCCUGACGGAGCAACGCCGCGUGAGUGAUGAAGGUCUUCGGAUCGUAAAACUCUGUUAUUAGGGAAGAACAUAUGUGUAAGUAACUGUGCACAUCUUGACGGUACCUAAUCAGAAAGCCACGGCUAACUACGUGCCAGCAGCCGCGGUAAUACGUAGGUGGCAAGCGUUAUCCGGAAUUAUUGGGCGUAAAGCGCGCGUAGGCGGUUUUUUAAGUCUGAUGUGAAAGCCCACGGCUCAACCGUGGAGGGUCAUUGGAAACUGGAAAACUUGAGUGCAGAAGAGGAAAGUGGAAUUCCAUGUGUAGCGGUGAAAUGCGCAGAGAUAUGGAGGAACACCAGUGGCGAAGGCGACUUUCUGGUCUGUAACUGACGCUGAUGUGCGAAAGCGUGGGGAUCAAACAGGAUUAGAUACCCUGGUAGUCCACGCCGUAAACGAUGAGUGCUAAGUGUUAGGGGGUUUCCGCCCCUUAGUGCUGCAGCUAACGCAUUAAGCACUCCGCCUGGGGAGUACGACCGCAAGGUUGAAACUCAAAGGAAUUGACGGGGACCCGCACAAGCGGUGGAGCAUGUGGUUUAAUUCGAAGCAACGCGAAGAACCUUACCAAAUCUUGACAUCCUUUGACAACUCUAGAGAUAGAGCCUUCCCCUUCGGGGGACAAAGUGACAGGUGGUGCAUGGUUGUCGUCAGCUCGUGUCGUGAGAUGUUGGGUUAAGUCCCGCAACGAGCGCAACCCUUAAGCUUAGUUGCCAUCAUUAAGUUGGGCACUCUAAGUUGACUGCCGGUGACAAACCGGAGGAAGGUGGGGAUGACGUCAAAUCAUCAUGCCCCUUAUGAUUUGGGCUACACACGUGCUACAAUGGACAAUACAAAGGGCAGCGAAACCGCGAGGUCAAGCAAAUCCCAUAAAGUUGUUCUCAGUUCGGAUUGUAGUCUGCAACUCGACUACAUGAAGCUGGAAUCGCUAGUAAUCGUAGAUCAGCAUGCUACGGUGAAUACGUUCCCGGGUCUUGUACACACCGCCCGUCACACCACGAGAGUUUGUAACACCCGAAGCCGGUGGAGUAACCUUUUAGGAGCUAGCCGUCGAAGGUGGGACAAAUGAUUGGGGUGAAGUCGUAACAAGGUAGCCGUAUCGGAAGGUGCGGCUGGAUCACCUCCUUUCUAAGGA